AAAACAUAGAGAAAAUAAAACCAAAAACCAUUUCUUGGCUGGCUUGAAGAGAUUCUAAGGAGAUCCAAGUGAAAUCAAAGCCAAAAAAAGUGGAUUAAGCUUAGUUCUGGCCUUUUUAUGGAUAAGCACAUCAACAUCUCAGACACCACUUGUUACACGGUGAAAUAUAUUUUGGACAGAAGUGUAUGGCCGCCUAAACUCUUGAGCACGACGGGGCAGCGAUGGAGUAAUGUUUUUAAUGCGCCCUACUGUGGUGAUGGCUAGCCGGAGGAUAACCCAUGAGAUUUUAUAUUAUAUGUGUAACAAGCCCUGCAGGCAUUGGCCUAAUCAAACAAUGUGCACAAUAUUAAGGGGCCCAAAAUUUAAAAAGAAGUUGUGUAUGUCCAUUGACAUUGGGGAAUCAUUAGCAUUGCAUGCAUUACUUUGCUUACUGAGCUUUAGGCUCACAGUUGUCUUGUGUUGCAGGUAGAGAAAGAAAUAAGUGAAUGACAAAGGUAAACUGAACCAUGGUCCUGACCCUGAUUUUUACAUAUGAACAUAUCGACCUUUUGUGGGUUAUUUCAGUUUAUCAGUGUGUAUGUUUAUAAUAAA